rnacentral:rRNA from 1 species
AAACUUACAGGAAUUGACGGGGACCCGCACAAGCGGCGGAGCAUGCGGAUUAAUUCGAUGCAACGCGAAGAACCUUACCAAGGCUUGACAUACACGAGAACGCCCUAGAAAUAGGGAACUCUUUGGACACUCGUGAACAGGUGGUGCAUGGUUGUCGUCAGCUCGUGUCGUGAGAUGUUGGGUUAAGUCCCGCAACGAGCGCAACCCUCGUUCUAUGUUGCCAGCACGUCAUGGUGGGAACUCAUGGGAUACUGCCGGGGUCAACUCGGAGGAAGGUGGGGAUGACGUCAAAUCAUCAUGCCCCUUAUGUCUUGGGCUUCACGCAUGCUACAAUGGCCGGUAACAAAGGGCUGCAAUACCGUAAGGUGGAGCGAAUCCCAAAAAGCCGGUCCCAGUUCGGAUUGAGGUCUGCAACUCGACCUCAUGAAGUCGGAGUCGCUAGUAAUCGCAGAUCAGCAACGCUGCGGUGAAUACGUUCCCGGGUCUUGUACACACCGCCCGUCAAGUCAUGAAAGUCGGUAACACCUGAAGCCGGUGGCCCAACCGUUGUGGAGGGAGCCGUCGAAGGUGGGAUCGGUAAUUAGGACUAAGUCGUAACAAGGUAGCCGUACCGGAAGGUGCGGCUGGAUCACCUCCUUUCUG